rnacentral:rRNA from 1 species
GUGUCAGCCGCCGCGGUAACACGUAGGGCGCAAGCGUUGUCCGGAAUUAUUGGGCGUAAAGGGUGCGUAGGCGGCAUAUUAAGUCAAUCGUUAAAUUCCCCGGCCUAACCGGGGGCCAGCGGUAGAAACUGAUGUGCUUGAGGAUGGAAGAGAGAAGUGGAAUUCUCGGAGUAGCGGUAAAAUGCGUAGAUCUCGAGAGGAACACCCAUUGCGAAGGCAGCUCGCUACACUAUUAUUGACGCUGAGGCACGAAAGCGUGGGGAUCAAACAGGAUUAGAUACCCUGGUAGUCC